rnacentral:rRNA from 1 species
UACAGAGGGUGCGAGCGUUAAUCGGAGUUACUGGGCGUAAAGGGCGCGUAGGCGGUUAUGUGAGUGUGAUGUGAAAGCCCUGGGCUUAACCUAGGAAGUGCAUCGCAAACGACAUGACUGGAGUAUAUGAGAGGGUGGCGGAAUUUCCGGUGUAGCGGUGAAAUGCGUAGAGAUCGGAAGGAACGUCGAUGGCGAAGGCAGCCACCUGGCAUAAUACUGACGCUGAGGCGCGAAAGCGUGGGGAGCGAACAGG